CCGGGAUGAUAAUGACGGUACCCGGAGAAUAAGCCCCGGCUAACUUCGUGCCAGCAGCCGCGGUAAUACGAAGGGGGCUAGCGUUGCUCGGAAUUACUGGGCGUAAAGGGAGCGUAGGCGGAUUUUUAAGUCAGGGGUGAAAUCCCGGGGCUCAACCCCGGAAUUGCCUUUGAUACUGGGUGUCUUGAAUCUGAGAGAGGUGUGUGGAACUCCGAGUGUAGAGGUGAAAUUCGUAGAUAUUCGGAAGAACACCAGUGGCGAAGGCGACUCACUGGAUCGUUACU
rnacentral:rRNA from 1 species